GACGAACGCUGGCGGCGUGCUUAACACAUGCAAGUCGAACGGAAAGGCCCUGCUUUUGUGGGGUGCUCGAGUGGCGAACGGGUGAGUAACACGUGAGUAACCUGCCCUUGACUUUGGGAUAACUUCAGGAAACUGGGGCUAAUACCGGAUAGGAGCUCCUGCUGCAUGGUGGGGGUUGGAAAGUUUCGGCGGUUGGGGAUGGAUUCGCGGCUUAUCAGCUUGUUGGUGGGGUAGUGGCUUACCAAGGCUUUGACGGGUAGCCGGCCUGAGAGGGUGACCGGCCACAUUGGGACUGAGAUACGGCCCAGACUCCUACGGGAGGCAGCAGUGGGGAAUAUUGCACAAUGGGCGGAAGCCUGAUGCAGCAACGCCGCGUGCGGGAUGACGGCCUUCGGGUUGUAAACCGCUUUCGCCUGUGACGAAGCGUGAGUGACGGUAAUGGGUAAAGAAGCACCGGCUAACUACGUGCCAGCAGCCGCGGUGAUACGUAGGGUGCGAGCGUUGUCCGGAUUUAUUGGGCGUAAAGGGCUCGUAGGUGGUUGAUCGCGUCGGAAGUGUAAUCUUGGGGCUUAACCCUGAGCGUGCUUUCGAUACGGGUUGACUUGAGGAAGGUAGGGGAGAAUGGAAUUCCUGGUGGAGCGGUGGAAUGCGCAGAUAUCAGGAGGAACACCAGUGGCGAAGGCGGUUCUCUGGGCCUUUCCUGACGCUGAGGAGCGAAAGCGUGGGGAGCGAACAGGCUUAGAUACCCUGGUAGUCCACGCUGUAAACGGUGGGUACUAGGUGUGGGGUCCAUUCCACGGGUUCCGUGCCGUAGCUAACGCUUUAAGUACCCCGCCUGGGGAGUACGGCCGCAAGGCUAAAACUCAAAGGAAUUGACGGGGCCCCGCACAAGCGGCGGAGCAUGCGGAUUAAUUCGAUGCAACGCGUAGAACCUUACCUGGGUUUGACAUGGAUCGGGAGCGCUCAGAGAUGGGUGUGCCUCUUUUGGGGUCGGUUCACAGGUGGUGCAUGGCUGUCGUCAGCUCGUGUCGUGAGAUGUUGGGUUAAGUCCCGCAACGAGCGCAACCCUUGUUCACUGUUGCCAGCACGUUAUGGUGGGGACUCAGUGGAGACCGCCGGGGCCAACUCGGAGGAAGGUGGGGAUGACGUCAAGUCAUCAUGCCCCUUAUGUCCAGGGCUUCACGCAUGCUACAAUGGCUGGUACAAAGAGUGGCGAGCCUGUGAGGGUGAGCGAAUCUCGGAAAGCCGGUCUCAGUUCGGAUUGGGGUCUGCAACUCGACCUCAUGAAGUCGGAGUCGCUAGUAAUCGCAGAUCAGCAACGCUGCGGUGAAUACGUUCCCGGG
rnacentral:rRNA from 1 species